rnacentral:lncRNA from 10 species
UAUUUAGAGUUUAUUUAUUUCUAGCUCAUUUAAACUAUCUGAAGCAACAGGAAAUAUUUUACCCAGAGCAACAAAAACAACAAAGAUUAAGUCAAAAGUCUAUGUUUCUUUAACGGUCGAGUACAAAAUAAAAUUAAAUUGAAAAUCAAGUUAAAGUAAGAAAAGCAAAAUGCUUUAUUCAAUUUUUUAAAAGAAGGGAAAAAAAACCUAUGCAUGUGAAUUAUACUGUAAAAAAAUACCUCUUAGUAUCUUUGAAAUUUACUCUUUAGAUCCUUAACACCUUUGCAUACACAUGGUAAACAUUAAUUUCUGGGUAAUAAAAAUGUGAUUUAAUGCCACAUUCACAGCUUUAUGCAUAUUCCAAAUGUCUCAGCAGACUAAUUAGAAGUAUCACAUUUUAUGGAAUGAGCAUUCCUCCUUAUUUUCUUGGUCUCUAACUACUGUGUAAAAUUUAAAUAAAUGAGGUAUGUCUACAGCAGAGAGAAAGGUGGAGAAAAUGCUAAGUAGAACUGUAGUUAGGCUAAUAAGGUGAAUGUUUUGGGUCUAUAAUUUUUGCACCAACAAAAUUUCUUUAGAAGGGUCACAGUCAGAAAGUGAAGAUAAUCAGACAAGUAAGAUUUCUGAACAUUACAGAAUUUAUGACAUUAUCCAAAGCAGUAACUCCUCAGGCCAGUUGAGUAGAUGUUAAGAAACAGUCAAUAGUCCUAAUUUGUGUCUAUUAUUUCUUACUGCCAGUCAGGUGGCUUUGUAAUUGAAAUGCUCAGUAAUAGUUUUCUACCUAAAUUCUAAUGAUGCCCUUUAUAAUUCUCUUUUUAAUGCAGUUCCUGAACUUUAGAAAGGUUGUUCACUGCCAAAUGUCAGUUCAUUGUGAAGUGCUGUAUUGGAAAACCUCUUGGUUUUUAAAAAAGAUGAAGUAUUGUUCAUUAUGCCUGUUGAAAAUUGCAUUGUCCAAUCAUAUGCUAAAUUGUUGAUCAGUUGUCUCCUUCUUAUUCUUCUAAAAGUCCAUAGUGCUUGUAAUUUAGUAUUGAGAGGCACUCUGAGAACAAUGUCCAGAAGCAUAAACUACUUCUCCCAUAAGGGUAUGAUACCUGUGA